AUUGAACGCUGGCGGCAGGCUUAACACAUGCAAGUCGAGCGAGCGGCGGACGGGUGAGUAAUGUCUGGGAAACUGCCUGAUGGAGGGGGAUAACUACUGGAAACGGUCGCUAAUACCGCCUACCAUCAUAUGUGCCCAGAUGGGAUUAGCUAGUAGGUGGGGUAAUGGCUCACCUAGGCGACGAUCCCUAGCUGGUCUGAGAGGAUGACCAGCAACGCUGGAACUGAGGCAGGGUCCAGAGUCCUACGGGAGGCCGCAGUGGGGAAUAUUGCACAAUGGGCGCAAGCCGAAUGCAGCCAUGCCGCGGGUGUGAAGAAGGCCUUCGGGUGGUAAAGCACUUUCAGCGAGGAGGCGUUACUCGCAGAAGAAGCACCGGCUAACUCCGUGCCAGCAGCCGCGGUAAUAC
rnacentral:rRNA from 1 species